rnacentral:rRNA from 1 species
GACGAACGCUGGCGGCGUGGAUUAGGCAUGCAAGUCGAACGGUAGGAUACCUUCGGGUAUCUGAGAGUGGCGAACGGGUGAGUAACACGUAGGUGAUCUACCCUCAAGAUUGGGACAACCCAGGGAAACUUGGGCUAAUACCGGAUGAAAGCAGCAGUGAUGUUGUUUGAAAGGUGGCGUAAGCUGCCGUUUGGGGAUGAGCCUGCGCUCUAUUAGUUAGUUGGCGGGGUAAAGGCCCACCAAGGCGAUGAUAGAUAGGCGGCCUUAACGGGUGGUCGCCCACACUGGGAUUGAGAUACGGCCCAGACUCCUACGGAGGCAGCAGUCGAGAAUAGUCUACAAUGGCCGAAAGGCUGAUAGUGCGACGCCGCGUGAACGAAGAAGCCCUUCGGGGUGUAAAGUUCUUUUAUAUGUGAGCAGUGUUUUCUAUGUGAACAGCAUGGGAGAGAGAUAUUAGCAUAUGAAUAAGCAACGGCUAAACUCCGUGCCAGCACG